UAAUCAUUUGUCUUUUAAAUGGGGACUUGUAUGAAUGGUAUAACGAGGGCUUAACUGUCUCCUCCCUCUUGUCAAUGAAAUUGAUCUCCCCGUGCAGAAGCGGGGAUACUCUCAUAAGACGAGAAGACCCUAUGGAGCUUUAGAUACUAAGGUAGACCAUAUUCCAUAACCCCUUGUUAAAGGAGUAAAUCUAUGCUAAUCCUACCCCUAUAUCUUCGGUUGGGGCGACAAUGGGGAAAUAAAAAUCCCCCAUGCGGAACGGGAAAAUUUUAUCUAAGAAAUUAUUCUUACCAUAAAGCUACUUCCCCAAAUUAAGAGUGACAACUCUAAAUUACAGUAUUUCUGACCAUAAAUGAUCCGGCAUUUGCCGAUNAACGGACCAAGUUACCCUAGGGAUAACAGCGCAAUCCCCUUUUAGAGCCCA
rnacentral:rRNA from 1 species